UUUUUUUUUUUUUUUUUUUUUUUUAUUUUUUUUUUUUUUUUUUUUUUUUUUUUUUUUUUAAAAAAAAAAAAAAAAAAAAAAACCCCCCCCCACCCCCCCCCCCCCCCCCCCCCCCCCCCCCCCCCCCCCCCCCCCCCCCCCCCCCCCCCCCCCCCCCCCCCCCCCCCCCCCCCCCACCCCCCCCCCCCCCCCCCCCCCCCCCCCCCCCCCGCCCCCCCUUUUUUUUGAAAUCUUUUUUUGUUUUUUUUUUUUUGCCUUGGGCCCCCCCCCCCCCCCCCCCCCAUUACGAGCGCCCCCCCCCCCCCACCCCCCCUCCCCACCCCGGGCCCCCCCCCCCCCCCCCCCCCCCCCCCCCCCCCCACCCCCCCGCCACCCCCCCCCCCCCCCCCCGCCGCGCCUGCCGCCCCCCCCCCCCCCCCCCCCCCUCCCGCGCCAC
rnacentral:lncRNA from 1 species